rnacentral:rRNA from 1 species
UACGUAGGGUGCAAGCGUUGUCCGGAAUUAUUGGGCGUAAAGAGCUUGUAGGCGGUUUGUCGCGUCUGCUGUGAAAAUCCGGGGCUCAACCCCGGACUUGCAGUGGGUACGGGCAGACUAGAGUGUGGUAGGGGAGACUGGAAUUCCUGGUGUAGCGGUGAAAUGCGCAGAUAUCAGGAGGAACACCGGUGGCGAAGGCGGGUCUCUGGGCCGAUACUGACACUGAGGAGCGAAAGCGUGGGGAGCGAACAGG